rnacentral:ncRNA from 1 species
GCCAGGAGUAGAAGCGGUUAGCGCCAUCGGCGCGGGACAUUGCUCCUUUU